rnacentral:rRNA from 1 species
UACAGAGGGGGCAAGCGUUGUUCGGAAUUACUGGGCGUAAAGGGCGCGUAGGCGGCCUUCUAAGUCGAACGUGAAAUCCCCGGGCUCAACCCGGGAACUGCGUCCGAUACUGGAAGGCUUGAAUCCGGGAGAGGGAUGCGGAAAUUCCAGGUGUAGCGGUGAAAAUGCGUAGGAUAUCUGGAGGAACACCGGUGGCGAAAGGCGGCGAAUC